GUGAAAAGGAGUAGUAAGAAGGCACAUCCUUGCCUUGUUCCUGGUUUUAGUGAGAAAGUGUAUACAUUAAGUAUAAUAUUAACUGCAGGUUUUUAUAGGUAUUUAAGAAAUUUUCUUUAGUUGUAGAUGGACACAAUACCUUUAUUUUAUUUAUUUAUUUUUAUGUGGUGCUGAGGUUCAAACCCAGUGCCUCACACAUGCUAGGCAAGUGCUUUACCACUGAGCCACAACCCCAACCCCUUUAUAGGAUUUUUAAAAAUCAAGUUAAAGAUGUUCCCUUCUGUUCCAGAGAGGCUUUUUAAAAAAAAAAAAUCAAAAAUGGGUAUUAAACAAAUAUUUCUUAAUGAUGAUCAUUUAAUUGCUGAAGUCCAAUAGCAAUAUUCUUGCACUGGGGUUCUUCUGGAUUCAGUUCCCUUCCUUGUAUCUUAGGGAAAAUCACAUGCUUACCCCUGUCUCCUGAAGGAUACAAGGGUUUAUUUUUCCAUGUUCACAUUAAGUGGAAUCAUACUGGCACUUGGGGUUUGGGAUUGGAGAGGAAAGACAGGGCUUUGUCCUUGGCAUCCAACCAUCUUUUUUUUUUUUAAGAGAGAGAGAAAAUUUUAAUAUUUAUUUUUUAGUUUUUUCUGCGGACACAACAUCGUUGUUUGUAUGUGGUGCUGAGGAUCGAACCUGGGCCGCAUGCAUGCCAGGCUAGCGCACUACCGCUUGAGCCACAUCCCAGCCCUGCAUCCAACCAUCUUUAGCCCUGUACUUGAUGACAGCAACUGGUUGGAAUAUGGAAAGAUUAAUUCUGCCACAGCCCACUUUCUGGGAAACUGUGUUGUGGAAAAGACAAAUAUAUAAACAACUGAGAAAUGUGAUCUAAGUUGUGAGUAGGUGUGGAGAAUUUAUUAAAAAAGGCUGUAAAGAGGGCUGGAGAAGAAGGCCCCAGCAAAACCUCCACCCAGAGCAUCACAGAGUUGUUAAUGGCUUAAGAGUUAGGGGGUGAAAUCAUGUAUGUAAUACAAGACCAUGAACUCUGAAGAUAUUCUCAUUUAUAUUUACCAUCACCCUUGCCUCAAUUUUCACAGGAGCCCCAAACAAAACUCUGUUACUACUCUGCCUGCAUGGCAACUAUGUCUGAUUCAAGGCUGCUUUGUCUUAAAGGGAACAGAGGAACCCAUCUCCAUUCUCAAUAUAGGGUUUUGUCCCUAUAUAAUGACAGCUCAUUUAUGGGUCAUUAUGUGUCAGAAUUCUUCUGGUCUUACAGUGCUACAGACCAAGGCUACAGUACCCAUCUUUGUCCUCCGGUCUUUAGCUGACAGUGGGUCCACCUUCCCUGCCCCUUACACAGGAAGCUACAUUUCCCAGAACUGUUUUCAACAAGCUGUUCUUUUCCUCCUAAAACCUGCUUGGACUGACUAAGGUUCUUUUUUCCCUUCCAAGAACUUGGCUUUGGCUCUGGCCUGUGCCACAAAGACACCUGUAUGCAUCUGGCCAGUAGAGGGAGCUAGAAAAACUUAAGAUUCUUCAGCUAGACAAAGGGGUGAAUGAUAGGGCUUUUUCUCAAUGUAUCCAGGUAAUUUUUUUCUCAUUUAAGGUAUACAGAACCAAGUGCAUUGCUAAAAUGGCUGAUUGUGAGGUUUGGAUGAAUGGAAAGCCACAUGGAGUUCAUCCAUUCAGUUAGUUAAUUAACUGAUUAAUUAUUUAUAUAGCAGUACCAAGGAUUGAACCUAGGGGCGCUUAACCACUGAACCACAUCUCCAGCCCUUUUUACAUUUUAUUUAGAGACUUUUUGCUGAGCUGCUUAGGGCCUCACUAAAUUGCUGAGGCUGGCUUUGAACUCUCGAUCCUCCUGCCUCAGCCUUCCAAGCCUCUGGGAUUAUAGGCAUGUGCCACCACACCCAACAACUUUUUAAAAUUUUUGAAAUAGGUCUAAAGUGACUAGGCUGGGGGCUGGGGUUGUGGCUCAGUGGUAGAGAGCUUGCCUCACAUGUGUGAGUCACUGGGUUCAAUUCUCAGCACUGCAUAUAAAUAAAUUAAUAAAAUAAAGGUCCAUCAACACUAAAAAAUAUUUUAAAAAAAUAAAGAGACUAGGCUGGCCUUGAACUUGAUCAUCCUGCCUCAGACUCCUGAAUCAUUGGCAUUAUAGGUGUGUGCACCAUGUCCAGCUUUAGCCAUCAAUCAACUACAUGCUAGGUUAGGUAUUAUGUAUAGAGUAAUUAAGAAGCUUGCUAAAGUCCCAAAACUCAUGUUAUAGUGAUGAACUAGGAGAAUUGGUGAGUGGAGAUCUAGGCACUUAGGUCAAAGUGAGCAUAUGUGUCAGGUUCUUGUGACUCUAAAAGGGACAAACAAAAGAAUAGAGUUUGAGGCCAGAAAACACUGAUUCUAUCAAUUAAAAAAAAAAAAAGGUUAGAUAGGGCUGGGGUUGUGGCUCAGUGGUAUAGCACUCACCUCACACGUGCAAGACCCUGGGUUCGAUCCUCAGCACCACAUAAAAAUAAUAAGUGAAAUAAAGGUAUUGUGUCCAACUACAACUAAAAAAUAAAUAUAUAUAUUUUAAAGUUAGACAAAGAAUAUUGUGUCCAAUAAAACUUUUAACAGCAUUCAAAAUGAAAGCAUAUCAAGUGUUCAAGGGAAAGAACAUCAAUAACAAGUAGAGUCAGUCAGUCAUGAAUCUGUAAUCUCAGCAACUCAGGCUGAGGGAAGAAAAUCACAAAUUUGAGGCUAGCCUCCCCAAUGUAGCAUGACCUUAAACAACUUAGUUAGACCCUAUUUCAAAAUAAAUAAGAUCUUCCAUACCACAAAGAACAAAAAACGAACAUAAUUUUUAAAAAGAUCUGUACACAAAAUAUGAUAUGUGUUAUGAUUCAUGCUUAUUUAGAAACAGAUUUAUUGCAGCACUACAAACCUAAUUAACAUUGCUACUAUUUUCAUUGUCAUUUUGGUUUUGGUACUGGGGAUUGAAACUAGGGGUAUGCUAUCAUUGAGCUACACCCCCAGUCCUUUUUAUUUUUUAUUUUGAGAAAGGGUUGAACUAAAUUGCCCAAAUUUGAUACUUCUACCUCAGAAUCUCAAGUAGCUGGGAUUACAGUGGUGUGUCACCACACUUGGAUGAAUUGCUACUACUGAAAGAAAGAGGAAGAGAGGGAGAGAGGAAGGAAGGAAAUAACAAAUAAUAAUGAGUAAUGGAGAGGUUGUGGAGAAAUUGGAAUCUUGUGGCUAUAUAAAAUGGUUAGCUACUAUGGAAAUGGUAUAGCAAUUUCUCCAAAAAUUAAAAAUAGAAUUGCCAUAUAAUCUAGCAAUUCUACUAUAUAAAAGGAACUUAAAAAAAAUUUUGCAUUACUAUAAAAGGAACUUAACACAGGGUUUCAAAGAGGUUAUCUGUAUAUAAUGUUCACAGAAGCAUUAUUUACAAUAUCCAAAAAGAAGCAAUUUGAAUAUCCAUUGAUGGAUAAAUAAACAAAAUGCGAUAUUUCAGUUUUAAGAAGGAAGGAAAUUCUGACAUUUGCUACAAAAUGGAUAACCUUGAGGACUUUAUGCUAAGUGAAAUACACCAGUCACAAAACACAAAUACUGAAUGAUUUCACUUAAAUGAGGUACCUACAGUAGUCAAAUCCAUAGAGUCAGAAAGUAGAAUUGCCAGGGUCUGGAGUAGGAGGAAUGAGGAAUAGUUGCUUAAUGAAUAUUGAGUUUUAGCUUGGUGAGAUGAAAGGAAUUCUGGAAAUUGGUUGCAUAGCAAUGUGAAUGUACUUAACACUACUAAAUAUACACUUAAAAUUGGUUAUGAU
rnacentral:lncRNA from 1 species